CAUAGCGACUAUCGUGGCAUAUCAAUAAGCGGAGGAAAAGAAACUAACAAGGAUUCCCCUAGUAACGGCGAGUGAAGCGGGAAGAGCUCAAAUUUGAAAUCUUCAAGGUUUGACCUUGACGAAUUGUAGUUUAAAGAAGUGUUUUCGGUUAGAGGAGUAGUAAAAGUUCUUUGGAAUAGGACAUCAUAGAGGGUGAGAAUCCCGUAUUUGACUAUUCUUUCUAGCUUUGUGAUACACUUUCAAAGAGUCGGAUUGUUUGGGAAUGCAGUCCAAAAUGGGUGGUAAAUUUCAUCUAAAGCUAAAUAUUGGCGAGAGACCGAUAGCGAACAAGUACCGUGAGGGAAAGAUGAAAAGAACUUUGAAAAGAGAGUUAAACAGUACGUGAAAUUGUCAAAAGGGAAGCGUUUGACACCAGUGUUGUUUUUCCGAAAAUCAAUUAAAAAUUGAUUCAUGCCAGGUUGUAUUGACCUUAUCAGCUUGCAAUUUGGUUUUGGGUCUCUUUUUGAUGCACUUUUCGGUUAACAAGUCAACAUCAAUUUCCUUUGCUGUAAAAAGGUAAGAGGAAGGUGGCUUCAAUUUCGGUUGAAGUGUUUAUAGCCUUUUAUCUCUGCAGUCGGGGAGAUUGAGGUCUGCAGCGUAGAUCCUUCGGGGCUAGAUACAUUUAUGCUAAGUUAUAGCUUUUCAUAGACAACUUGUUGACUAUGUUUAGUCAUGUAGCUUACUCGUAAGUGCUAUUUUACCUACGCUUAGGAUGUUGAUAGUCACAGCGUGUA
rnacentral:rRNA from 1 species